UUUAAGAUACAACUGUGGGUCCUUUUGGAAGUUCCAGUUUAUUAAUAAUUAUCUUUACUCUGGAUAUACCUUUUGGGUGAUCCAGUACUAAAGAUGGAAAGGCUCUUUUUAGAGUCAAAGUGGGAAGCCACUUUUUAAGGUCCAUGUUCCUUUUAUAUAUGAAGAGCUUGCCUUUAUAUAAAGGUUGUUUUAAAAACAUCUUUACUGCAGAACUAUUGAUGUAAUAUUUUGAUCCUAACAUUUUUG